rnacentral:tRNA from 1 species
UCCCUGGUGGUGUAGUGGCUAAUGAAUACGGUGAUCCCGCGCUGUCACUGCGGCGGCCUGGGUUCGAUUCCCGGGCAGGGAA